rnacentral:rRNA from 1 species
ACGAACGCUGGCGGCGUGCUUAACACAUGCAAGUCGAACGGUGAAGCGCCUUCCUUUUUGGUGGGUGUGGGUGAGUGGCGAACGGGUGAGUAACACGUGAGUAACCUGCCCCCUUCUUCUGGAUAACCGCAUGAAAGUGUGGCUAAUACGGGAUAUUCUGGGUCUGUCGCAUGAUGGGUCUGGGAAAGAUAUUGUUUCGGUGGGGGAUGGGCUCGCGGCCUAUCAGCUUGUUGGUGGGGUGAUGGCCUACCAAGGCGGUGACGGGUAGCCGGCCUGAGAGGGUGGACGGUCACACGGGGACUGAGACACGGCCCAGACUCCUACGGGAGGCAGCAGUGGGGAAUAUUGCACAAUGGGCGCAAGCCUGAUGCAGCGACGCCGCGUGAGGGAUGGAGGCCUUCGGGUUGUGAACCUCUUUCGCCAGUGAAGCAGGCCUGCCUCGUUUGUGGGUGGGUUGACGGUAGCUGGAUAAGAAGCGCCGGCUAACUACGUG